rnacentral:rRNA from 1 species
UACGAAGGGGGCUAGCGUUGCUCGGAUUGACUGGGCGUAAAGGGCGCGUAGGCGGUUCGUACAGUCAGACGUGAAAUUCCUGGGCUCAACCUGGGGGCUGCGUUUGAUACGUGCGGACUUGAGUGCGGAAGAGGGUCGUGGAAUUCCCAGUGUAGAGGUGAAAUUCGUAGAUAUUGGGAAGAACACCGGUGGCGAAGGCGGCGACCUGGUCCGAUACUGACGCUGAGGCGCGAAAGCGUGGGGAGCAAACAGGAUUGAGAA